rnacentral:tRNA from 1 species
GGAGUUGUGGCUUAGUGGUAGAGUGCUCACUUAGCACGCGUGAAGCACUGAGUUCUACUCUCAGCACCA